AUUCCAGCUCCAAUAGCGUAUAUUAAAGUUGUUGUGGUUAAAAAGCUCGUAGUUGGAUCUCGGCGGACUGAGGGCGGUUUGCUUGCUAGUAUUACUGCCCUAUAGUCCGUAGUUUUGCCAGAGGUUUCGGGGUGCUCUUAAUCGAGUGUCCCGGGAUGCUGGCAGGUUUACUUUGAAAAAAUUAGAGUGCUCAAAGCAGGCUAUUACGCCUGAAUAUUCGUGCAUGGAAUAAUAGAAUAGGAAGUCGUUUCUAUUUUGUUGGUUUUCGGAAAUCGACUUAAUGAUUAAUAGGGACAGUCGGGGGCAUUUGUAUUCAAACGACAGAGGUGAAAUUCUUGGACCGUUUGAAGACAAACUACUGCGAAAGCAUUUGCCAAGAAUGUUUUCAUCA
rnacentral:rRNA from 1 species